AUGUUGUUGAAGCUGUUCAUUUUUGCAUCGGUUUAUCAUGAGUGCCAUGGAGAAGACAGUGUUGAUCAGCCAGAUAAAAACAUCACUGAAUUUGAAGAAAGAUCAGUAACAUUACAAUGCAAAUAUAAAACAGCUUUAUCACAACCAGAACUUUUCUGGUACAUCCAGAGAGCAAAUGACUUUCCUAAAUACAUCCUGAUGAGAAACAAAUAUGGAGGAGCAGAUAAUGAUGCCCAGUUUCAGGAGAGAUUUCAUUCUGAAGUGUCAUCAGAUUCAGUUCCACUGAUGAUCAAGAAUCUGCGUGUGUCUGACUCUGCUGUGUACUACUGUGCUCUGAGGUCCACAGUGACUAAAACACACUCAACACUCACACAAAAACAGAUAACCAAGAGAAGUGUCUUCGCUGAAGAAAUGGCAGACGUUACUCCUCAGACACCUGUGAACACCAAGCAGUCUUGA